ensembl:lncRNA
GUGGGACUAAGAGGAAUACGUGUCUGUAUGACAAGAGAUAAGCUAUUCCUUUCAUUGUUCCAUCUAAUUCUGCCCCAACUUCACUGAGACCUACUAUGUGCCUCUCCAAGGACUGCUUUUGCUAAGCAUAAGCAGGACGCAAGAAAACAGAACAGUUCAGAUAAUUGACUUUAUUGUGCAAGCAUUCAGACAUGGGGGUGGAGAAUUUACACAGUCUGUGUGGGGCAGCAGAAGAUUGGGGUUGCAGGACUGUGAAGAAGGACUGACCAGAAGUACCAGCUCCAUCACAGACCCUAUCAGGUGCACUUGUGUUAGCAGUUUUGAUGGAGUAAUUGAUCAUCAUAAAAUAUGCUUCAGUUGUUCAGAUAUCAAGUACCACCACUCCAGCUUUUCCCAGCUUUCAACAUUCUG